AUACAUUUUUGUAUAUAACUUUCAUGCAAAAUUGAUAAUAUUCAAUGAUAUUUUUUUUAUUUUAUCAAUAUUCAUUAGUCAUGAUAGUCUUUUUUUAACAAUUGUUUUGUUUCCAAAUUCCUACCACUAGAUUUGCAAGUUUCCUGUUCAAAUUUGUUAUUGUUUACUCUUCCUUUGAACCUCAGUUUUUUGUGCAUUUCAGGUAUUUAGGGGCUUGAAUUAAUGAUUUAUUGAAACCUCAACAAAAGAGAGAUAACUCUUAAAAUUUGAGAUAUUGGAGACAACUGUAUUAAUCACUUAAUAUUUUUUUAGGACUACUGAAUGGCUGUCCUUGGUGUUUAUUUUAAACGGACAUCAAUGGGAAUUUGCAAAUAUUUAUGUCUAAUACAAAUUUUGUACUGUACAUAUUUUCAUGUCUUUUUUUCAGAUAGCAUCAUUUAUUACAUGAUAACUGUGGCUUAGAUAUUUUCCUAUAUUAUGUUUUUACCAUAAAUGAGCAAGAACAAUUACCUUUACUAAUUUGCUUUAUGUUUUGUACAAGUUUCAGAUCCUUAAAAUACUGGUUUGAGAAAAUUUUAUGUUGAAUGUACAGAUAAUUAAGGUAAGUGAAUGGGAGUACAGAGAUAUUGGUUUACUGUCUUUGUAGGACUCUCCACAGAUAGUGAAUGAACAUUUUAAUCAAAAAUAAUAUAUAUGAUAUCUUGCAUAGUAUUAUUCUCUACUACAUGUUUAUGUAAUUGCCACUUUUAAGAAAUAAAUUUUAAAUUCUAGGAAAAUCAUAAUUUUCCUUUGACAAGAGACAAAUUAAAUCAAUAAAAAUCUGAAGAGGCUUAAAUGUGCUAAUUUUUUUUUAAAUUAAUUUUAUCCUGUGUGAAAAGUUAUUUACAAUACAUUCCAAGAUAUUCUUGAAAAGUUCAAAGGAGAAAAGUUUUUAAAGAUUGAAUGUUUAAUAUAGUUAAUUAAACAUUUGUUUACCUUGAAACAUUUGCCUAGUACAUGUCAUUCCAUGGUAUCUUAUUUCAUGUUUUAAUGAUACUGGUAAUAUUUGUGUUGUCUUGGGAAAGUUGGUAUUGCACCUUUAGUACCUGUAUUUGUGAAUGCUGGUCAUUUUGUACCGUCUUGGGAAAGUUGGUAUUGCACCUUUAGUACCUGUAUUUGUGAAUGCUGGUCAUUUUAUACCGUCUUGGGAAAGUUGGUAUUGCACCUUUAGUACCUGUAUUUGUGAAUGCUGGUCAUUUUAUACCGUCUUGGGAAAGUUGGUAUUGCACCUUUAGUACCUGUAUUUGUGAAUGCUGGUCGUUUUGUACUGUCUUGGGAAAGUUGGUAUUGCACCUUUAGUACCUGUAUUUGUGAAUGCUGGUCGUUUUGUACCGUCUUGGGAAAGUUGGUAUUGCACCUUUAGUACCUGUACUUGUGAAUGCUGGUCAAUCUGUCUUUUUUUAUGUGAAUGUUACCAGUUCAUUAUUUAUUGGUGUUAUUAUCUUCUUUGUAUGCAUGUAUGUGACCAGAUCUGGCAGAUCAUCAUGUUUUUUUCAAAAAGAUUUUGCUAAAAACAGGACAACCAUACUCUUUAUGUUUUAUUUAAAAAAUUUAAACCUCCUUUUUGGUUAGACAGAUAUUUGGCUCUUUUUAGGGAUCUUCUGAAAAUGUGGCAAGUUGUAUAAAAUGUGUAUAGUACCAUGUGUUUCAUUUACAAUUUUCUUGUAGUUCAAUAAAUUGUUCAUCAUAUAU